rnacentral:rRNA from 1 species
GCAAGUCGGACGGCAGCACGGGUGCUUGCACCUGGUGGCGAGUGGCGGACGGGUGAGUAAUGCUUAGGAAUCUACCAUGAAGAGGGGGACAACACGAGGAAACUCGUGCUAAUACCGCAUAUGUUUUUAAAGUAAAGAUGGCCUCUACUAGUAAGCUAUCGCUUCAUGAUGAGCCUAAGUCGGAUUAGCUUGUUGGUGGGGUAAAAGCCUACCAAGGCGACGAUCCGUAGCUGGUCUGAGAGGAUGAUC